rnacentral:rRNA from 1 species
CCUACGGGUGGCUGCAGUGGGGAAUAUUGGACAAUGGGCGAAAGCCUGAUCCAGCCAUGCCGCGUGUGUGAAGAAGGCCUUCGGGUUGUAAAGCACUUUCAGUGGGGAAGAAAGCCUUGGGGCUAAUACCCUCGAGGAAGGACAUCACCCACAGAAGAAGCACCGGCUAAAUCCGUGCCAGCAGCCGCGGUAAUACGGAGGGUGCGAGCGUUAAUCGGAAUUACUGGGCGUAAAGCGCGCGUAGGCGGUCUGAUAAGCCGGUUGUGAAAGCCCCGGGCUCAACCUGGGAACGGCAUCCGGAACUGUCAGGCUAGAGUGCAGGAGAGGAAGGUAGAAUUCCCGGUGUAGCGGUGAAAUGCGUAGAGAUCGGGAGGAAUACCAGUGGCGAAGGCGGCCUUCUGGACUGACACUGACGCUGAGGUGCGAAAGCGUGGGUAGCAAACAGGAUUAGAUACCCUUGUAGUC